CUCGCGAGAGGUUCGCGCCAGGAAGGUUCUCAGAGGCGGAAGUGGGGUAGCGGAAGCGGCGUUGCCAUGGAGUCAGCGGAGGACUGGCUGGUGGAAUCCUUGCGCUUGUACCAAGAUUUCCAUGCAUUCGACCUUUCCGAAGCCACACGAGUCCUUGAAUGGAUUGAUGACAAAGGAGUCUGUGUUGCUGGCUAUGAAAGCCUGAAAAAAAAUGAGAUUCUUCAUCUGUUACUACCUCUCAGACUUUCUGUAAAAGAAAACCAGGGCUUAUUCCCAGAAAGAGAUUUCAAGGUACGCCACGGAGGAUUUUCAGACACGUCUGUCUUUGAUCUGAAGCACGUGCUGGACACCAGGUUGCUGGUAACCAGUGGUCUUCCAGGUUGUCACCUGCAUGUGUGGCAGGUGACAGAGGACAGUGAUGUCAUUCAAGCUGUCAGCACCAUUGCCGUGCAGGAGGAGGAGGGGAGUCUCUGGCCUAGGGUGGCCAUCUUCUCUUCGAUGGCCCCCGGAGUCCUGCACGGGGCGAGGCUCCGCGGUCUGAAGGUUGUGGAUCUGGAAACUCAGAAGACCACGUACUCCUCAGGGGUCGGUGACAGUGAGGAGCUGAGCAGCCUGCAGGUCCUGGACGCAGAUACCUUUGCCUUCUGCUGUGCCUCGGGCCGGCUGGGGCUCGUUGACAUCCGCCAGAAGUGGGCGCCGUCAGAGAAUGCCGGCCCCGGCCCCGGGGCCGCUGCAAGGAGGUGGUGUGCCGAAGUUGGGGGCCGACGCCGGGGCCCUGGGCCCAGCAUUGCCAGCCUUGGCUCAGACGGGCAGCUCUGUCUCCUUGAUCCCCGGGAUCUCUGCCACCCUGUGAGCUCGGGGCAGUGCCCCGUGUCCGCACCGAGCCCCGCCCCAGAGCUGCUGCGAGUGACCUGGGCCCCGGGCCUGGACGACUGCCUGGCCAUUUCAGGUUUUGAUGGGACGGUCCAGGUCUAUGAUGCCACAUCUUGGGACGGAACGGGGGGCCAAGUAGAACCUGUCUUCACUCACAGAGGUCACAUCUUCCUGGAAGACAAUCAGACAGAUACUGCGCCACUGGUCACUACCCACACCUGGCACCCCCACAAGCCGAGGACCUUGUUAUCGGCAGCAAGCGACGCCUCUCUGCACGUGUGGGACUGGGUGGACCACCGUGCGGCCUGCUGACUCCAGCCUCUCCCUGCCCAGGCCUCUAAGAAGAGAAGGAGCUACCGGAAAGCCAAGGAAGUUUUCCGGAAGUCCCGGGGAUCGUCAUUCCAAAGCUCUUCACUUCUCUCUGGCCUCGAGACCCCGUCUGGCUGGCGGGCUGGAAGUCCUACUCGAGGAGAAUCAAGAAGGGACAUGGAGUUCUUAUGCACUUUGCCUUCUGUUCUUAUAUCUGGACGUGGUGGGUGAAAUGAGAAUGGAAACACCUACCAGAAAGAUCUGGUUUUCAGAAGAAAUCGUUUAGGGAAUGACUCAGGAAAUGUGCCCCCUUAAGUGAGGAGUACAGGGCAAGGUGUUCAUCUAUCUUAACAGCCCUGCAACUCCAGCUCGUCCCACAUCUUGGCUUUUCUCAGGACGGGCACGUGGCCAGGCUGGCCUCUCCCCCCACCCGCUGCGGAGUCGCUGGCGUUCUCCUCUCCGGGACACUGAAGAUCACGCCUCCGUGGGUCCUCCUCCUGCUCCACGUGGGAGCUGACACUGCGUGGUUCCUCCAUCCAGGUCCUGGCUGCCUCCGUGCCUCCUGGGAGAUGUACACGGCCACAUCGCCGAAUGUCACCAACUCCUGGGAAAACAUAACACCCUGUUCAAAAGGUGCUGCCCUGGGACAAAAUGCCUCCCUAUAUGGCCUUCAUCAGAGGGCAGGUGACAAAAAAGGCCGAGGAGAAACUAAAAAGCGAGUUUUCUUUGACUUUUAAAGGCAAUAAAGGACGGGGAGGGAGCCGGGGAGAGAGAGAGAAGCCAGAAAGAAGCUAACAUUUACGGAACACCAGGUGUGCUGUGCCAGAUAUUUUCACACUUGCUCAGUUAUACAGUCAGUAUGUGGCAGAUCCAGGGUUUGAACGCAGGACUUUCUGACCCUGAGGCUUUUGUUCCCUCCACGCCUCCACAGUCCUGCACACCAUGCGGGCACGACUCGGAUAUGGAAAGAAGGAAGUAACUAUUCCUUUUAAGGCAAACGUGCAAACCAGCACGAUCUUACAAUCUCGGGCUCAAGGAAAAGAAUGACUUAAUACCAUUCCUCACCGCCUCAGCUGUGGUGCUGCCUUCCAUACGGAGGGGGGUGUCAGCAACAUCUUUCUGGCUGGUGAAAUUCUGGAGCCUAAUCUACAAAGUUACUGAGAACCCCCUCCACCACCACUGGGUAAAAUUCUCUUGGCAUUUCUGGUGAGCAAAAGAGUUGGUGGCAAAGGGCCCCCACUUGAAUAGUGAAAGGUGUCCUAAGUAAGAGAAAGAUCUGGCUCACCUGAGGGCUGUGCAUCAUCCCCGGGUCACUGCCGCCCUCCUCCAGAGAAACACCCAGAGUUCCAGGACCAGGCAGGGCUGUGGGGAAGAAAAAGGAGCAGUGAGGAGACCAUGUUUCUCAACUCCUCCUGAGGACGGGCCCAACUUAGUUCUGAAACAGAAGAGUCUUCCCCCUUCUCUUGGUGUCUGCUCUGUCCCAGCAAAGAAAGUUGGUGAAAAACCAAAAUGAGGAGAGUUCCCAAUUUUCCCCUUCCAUAUCCAUCCAGGUUACUGAUGCAGUUUCAUGAUUUUCUUCUUCAGUUUUGAUAACACAUCCGCAUCAUCCAAAUUGGUCUGGGACACACGUACCUGUCCUGAGAAUUACUGUGCUUUGAUUUGACCCCACCUUGUGCUUUCUCCACCAGCCAGACCUAAAAUCUGUGCCCAACCUACUGGGACAGUAACCUCACUCACACAAGGAGAGGUACCACAGGCUCCGCUGGGUACUUUUACAAAACAUGCCAACCGAGGCCCUUCCUCCCUUUGGAGGUACCUGUCGAGGAUCCCCCAAGCCUCAUUUCACCUGCCCCAUCCUCCCACCUUCGGCACUCUGAGGGAACUUACCCACCCUCUCCCCACACUGCUGCUGCUUACCGCUCCUGUGCAAGGCUGGGAGUUCCUCUUCGGGACUGUGAUGCCACUGUUCAUCCGGUUCUGGCUGUGAGUUCUUCACCACUGCCUGUAACAGACACAUGAAUCCUGUCUGUGCUUGCUUGAGAUGGAUGUCUUGGGAAGCUAGUACUGAUCCUAAGCGUUCCUUCUCCUCUGAGCAUACCUCCUGUCCCUGUUCAAGGACUAGAGGGGUCGAAAUUCUGUAGGAACCAAAACUUAACUAUCCCAAGAUGCAAAGAAGCAAAGGAGGAAAUCAGUCUCCUGCAAAUCACUGCAGUCCAGUAAGGAGUGUGGAUGUGCAAAAGACUAACAGAUAAGGUCUGGAUCCCAGGCUCACUGCAAUCUGCCCACCAGCUCUCCUGAGGCAAGACUCAGCCAACCAAAAAUAUAGCUGUUUUUCAAUAGGACCCAAAGGUGCAAUACUGGCCAUAAAGACCAGUGAAGCCACUUGCGUCAGGCUGGCUGCUGACGAAUGAGAGCUGUUCUCCAAAAAGAAACCAAAAACCAACCCACCCACCCACCCACAAACCCUAGCUUUUCUGUCCUUCUGUGUGCUCCUCCUCACCCGGAGUGGUGUUCAAGCCAUUUUAAGCAAUUCUCCUACUUAACGGCAGGGCCCCACACUCAGAGCAAGCGCUGUUAGGCAUUCUCUGAAGAGUCCGUCUGAGCGUGGAAGGAAAGCCGUAGCCACCAGGCCCAGGGAAUGAGCAAAUGCCACUUUGCCACGAACAGCAAAGUACGGCACAUCACCCACACUGCUGGCAAACCAAGGGCACGCUCCCACUUCCUCCUGCUUUACCCAGAACAAGGUUCUCGCUUCUCACCUGGAGCCCCCGUCUCCCAGGCUCUUUCUGCAAGUCUUCCACCAGGGCCACGGCCUCCUCUCCACUCUCUGGAUGCUUCUGUCUAACCCAGACCUGGAUCUCCCGAGGAAGGACAGCCAGGAACUGUUCCAGCACUAGCAACUCCAGGAUCUGCUCUUUCGUACACUUCUCUGGUCUCAGCCACUGAUGACAGAGCUUCCGGAGUUGGAUGAGGGCCUCCCGGGGUCCUGAUGCUUGUUGAUAGCAGAAAUGCCAAAACCGCCGGCAGGAGGUCUCUGGUCCAGGGUCGCUCCUUUGGGAAAUUUCCUGCUCCCAGUGGGAAUCGUCUUCCAGCUUCACUCUUUGAAGCUCUUCUUGCGCUCGAGGAGUCUGGACUUGUGGGUCCCCAGCUACAGCCAUCGUUCAGUUCACGGAAGAACCUUGCCACUGGGCUCUGAAGCUCAAAGCCCUUCCUUUACCUCAAUGGGGAGCUACCAUCAGAUAGGAGUCACUAAGUAGAACUCGAAAUCCUAGAGCCACGGAUAAUACAUUACAGAGUGAAUGCUAGUGACCAUCACAAGUGUCAGCCCAGCAGGACUGAGGUGAAGAAAAGAGCCUUCGUGUCCUCCCCUCCCCAUGUCCUGGUGCCCGUGGAGUCUGGCCCUGUGUCACUGGGGAAGCAGCUCCAGAAGUUCAAGAGGAGGGUCAAGAGCGGGUGAUCUGAUUGGAAAGUAGGGGGGCUUGAGGCUGUGUUUGCACAGCAAUUUACUUGAGGCCGAGAAGAUGUCACUCAUCCACACUGACGAGUGAGGAUGGACUGGAGAAGACAAUGGGGACAAUAAGCCGCCCACCCUCCCAAGCCACUGGUCUUCGGAACUAGAGUGUGACAAAGUCAAUGUGGCAGGACAAGUACGAGAGGGCGCACAAGGUAGCAGCACCUUGGAGAGCAGCAGCCGGGUGGAGCUGGCUCUAUCCAACCUUUCAGAGAUUCAAAGGGUCCAACCUCUAAACUGCCCUCACCUCUGGCUGGUCACCCCACUCGGGAUUCCUCAGCGCUGGAAUAACUCUCUCCCAAACAGGGAGAUUUACCCUGGCUAGGAUUACAAGCGUUAAGAGCAGAGAUACUAAAAACAGACCCAUACGGGAUGUCAGGGCUGGCAGGACAGUUAAGAAAUACUUGGACUUCAACUCCCUCAAAGCUGGGCAAUCGUGGCUCAGAGACCCCCAGAGACUUGCCCAAGGUCACAUGGCUGGUGUUUGGCAGGAAAUAAACAGGGGCUCAGCCCCUUGACCGUGGACUGGGGGACUGGCCCGCAGAGCGUGACUUACACCGGAAGGCUACUCUGCUCCGCGGGCGACCUUCUCUGGAAGCCUUAUGGGGUAAAUGCGGGCCCUGGGGACGGGGUCGCCUCGGCGGCUACAAGGCCAGGGUCCUCCCCGCCGAGUCCGGUGGGCGGCGCGAAGGAGGGCGCCGCCAGCACGAGGGCCGCAUCUCGCCCGGGGGCCGCUCGCGGGGCGGCGGGGCCUGGGCCGGAGGCGGCGGGACCCUGGGUUUCGGUCCGGUCACGCCCACCCGGCGAGGGCGGCUAGGGCCCGAGGUGACAGCCGCGCGCGCCAGCCGAGGCCCUGCGACGCCGGGGGGCCGGGGCCCGUGGCACCUUCUCCGCGGCCGCGCAACGUCCCCAAACGACCCUCGAACCCCCAGCCCGGACCCGGAGUCCUGGCGUUCGGAUGGCCACUAAACACCGGAAGCGGAAACGCGAUCCCCAGAAGGACUGGGUUUUGCCAGACUCCAUUUCCCAUAGGCCUCCGUGCCCGCAGACUGACAACAGCACUAGCCAAUAAAAUGUGAGAACGGCCUAGA